rnacentral:sRNA from 1 species
GAGCCACGGCACAGCCUCGGACUUUCUUAAACGCCAAAGGGGUUGGAGACCAAGGCCCCUCCCUGGGCUGUGCCCGAAAACCGGUAAUCAUUCUAGAAAUGACUCACCAAGCUCUCAAGCCUCAGAGCACCACCAAGCAGACAGCUGCUAGCUUCCUGCAUCAACAGGACCAAGGACUACUGUGGUCCCAGAGGUAACUGACUCUGGUGGGAAGGAACUGUAUUGGACUCUGCCAAGGGGACCUUCUGGAUGAAUGAGGAACUGGGGUACUAUGCUGACAGACUCCCACCUCCUGCUGCUGCGCUCACCUACCUUGGAGAUCCCUGAAAUUAUGAUGGUGCUUUUCUUCCGUGGGGACUUCAGUUUCAGCUUUGAGGACUCGCUGAGCUGCCGAAUGGCAACUUCAGCCACAGGAUCUGAGCUGUUCAGUACCAACAGUUCUGCCAGAAAGAAGGUAGCACUGAGUUCAGUAGCAAACUUAACAAGCUCCAAGCAAAGCCCCAGAACAGGGGGCAGGAUAGUCUAUAAGCAGUGGUCGGCAGGCAUUUGGAAGAAGGAGGGAGAAAGUAAGUUGGGGUUUUUUUCCCAACUUAUCUCCGCAUAAAGUAGAAGCAGACAGGAGCCACAUGUAAAUGAACAGGCAAGGCCUGGUUCUGGUAAAACUUUAUUUUCGGAAACAAA